UACGUAGGCAGCAAGCGUUGUUCGGAGUUACUGGGCGUAAAGAGUGCGUAGGCGGUCCUGUAAGUUUGGUGUGAAAUCUCCCGGCUCAACUGGGAGGGUGCGCCGAAGACUGCAGGGCUUGAGUAUGGGAGAGGUAAGCGGAAUUCCUGGUGGUAGCGGUGAAAUGCGUAGAUAUCAGGAGGAACACCUGUGGUGUAGACAGCUUACUGGACCAUAACUGACGCUGAGGCACGAAAGCGUGGGUAGCAAACAGG
rnacentral:rRNA from 1 species